rnacentral:rRNA from 1 species
CCUACGAGUGGCAGCAGUGAGGAAUAUUGGUCAAUGGACGAGAGUCUGAACCAGCCAAGUAGCGUGAAGGAUGACUGCCCUAUGGGUUGUAAACUUCUUUUAUAUGGGAAUAAAGUGAUCCAAGUGUGGGUUUUUGUAUGUACUAUAUGAAUAAGGAUCGGCUAACUCCGUGCCAGCAGCCGCGGUAAUACGGAGGAUCCGAGCGUUAUCCGGAUUUAUUGGGUUUAAAGGGAGCGUAGGUGGUAUGUCAAGGGUGCUGUGAAAUGUUGGGGCUCAACCCUGACCUUGCAGCGCGUACUGGCAGGCUUGAGUCCAGUUGAGGUAGGCGGAAUUCGUCGUGUAGCGGUGAAAUGCUUAGAUAUGACGAAGAACCCCGAUUGCGAAGGCAGCUUGCUACAGCGGCACUGACGUUGAUGCUCGAAAGCGCGGGUAUCAAACAGGAUGAGAUACCCGAGUAGUC